rnacentral:rRNA from 1 species
GACGUAGGGCGCGAGCGUUGUCCGGAUUUAUUGGGCGUAAAGAGCUCGUAGGCGGCUUGUCGCGUCGUCCGUGAAAACUUGGGGCUCAACCCCAAGCUUGCGGUCGAUACGGGCAGGCUAGAGUUCGGUAGGGGAGACUGGAAUUCCUGGUGUAGCGGUGAAAUGCGCAGAUAUCAGGAGGAACACCGGUGGCGAAGGCGGAUCUCUGGGCCUUACCUGACGCUCAGGUGCGAAAGCUAGGGGAGCGAACAGG